rnacentral:rRNA from 1 species
GGGGUUCGAUACUGUAUGUACAGGAUAGGUGGGAGACGUUGAACAUAGAACGCCAGUUUUAUGUGAGUCGCUGUUGGGAUACCACCCUUGCAGUAUUGGAUUUCUAACCUGCACCCAUGACCUGGGUUGCCUGUGACGGUUG